ensembl:lncRNA
UAAUAGUGUCAUGGUCCGGGUGUGUGCCAGUGUGUCUCCCUCCGAGCCGGCGUCUCCACCCCUGGGAGGGGCCUCAGUGUUUUUGCUGAUCGUUGACAUCUGUGGGUAAUUAGCCGGGGGACUCAUAAGGCCAGCGUUCUCAAUCUCUCUUCGCCAGAUUCUCUGCUAAACAUCAGUCAGUGCAGGCCACCAUCAUAAUUUCCUUACGUGUUUUUUUGUGAAUCACCUUUGCUUCACUGUAUGUUUGUUUUUUGUGCGCCUCCCUUUUUCAGCUACACCUAACUGUUAAACCCCUGGCGAAGAGCUUCUACUUGGAUGCUGGACUUUCUGGCAGUCCCUCAGGCUACCACCAAAACUACCUACCUGCCUCUCUGCCUCCACGCCAGGAGUUUUUGGAUUUACACACCCGGAUUACUCCCCCUCCAUGUCAUCUCCGACCUCCGUUGUGACCCCGACCUUUUCCUGGACCUUUUGUGACUUGCUUUCCAGUCCAAUCCCCGGACCCGGACCAGAUCAUUAUUUAGUUAACGUCUACGCUCACCUUUUGUUUAUGAAUAUUUUGUGUGCACAUUAAACAUUAUUCUUAAAAUAUAUUUACGAGCUGUUCGGCGUCUUGCGUUUGAGUCCUGUCACUCGUCUGAAACGGUCCCGGCCGUAACAAA